CGGCGACUCCCGAAUCCCCGCCGGGCGGCCAGCCUCUUAAAGAAAACAGAGUCCUUCCCAACCUGGACCAGAAACCAUUAACUCCGAAGAGCUUCACUUCAGCAUCUUUAUCACUAUCUAACUGUCUUUGGAACAAGUGGUGGAACUCUCAGCUCCUCCAGUCUCAUGCCUGCCUGAACAUUGCCAUGCUCCCACCUUGAUGAUAAUCGACUGAACCUUGGAACCUGUAAGCCACCCCAAUUAAAU
rnacentral:lncRNA from 1 species